ensembl:lncRNA
CCCCCUCCCCCCUUUUUUAUGCCUUACUGUGUCAAUGCUUGCUUAAACAUCUAUUUGAGCUUUUGAAACAAAUUGUACAGUAGAUGUAGUUUGUAUAUAACUUUAAAAAUCAUUGUUAGUCUUUCUAUGCCACCUUAAUGUAGUUUUUAUUAACAAAAAAAUUUUGAAAAAAAAAUUGUCCUGUUUGUCACUGUAAAUGAGAUUCUUCAUUGUUUGUCCGAAGGUUUUCGUUGCAGUCUUUUUGUAUUCGCUGUAUCGGUUCUGGUUCAGUUUCUGGGAGGACCUUUUGUGUGGGAGCAUCACCCCUGCGCCUCCCAUGGAGGUCUGGAUGGCAGUGUCUCCUGAACUUAAAGAACAGAGACUAAAUGAGAUUUCUGCCCUCUUUCCAUGAUUUUCCUAAUUUUUUUUUUUUUUUUUUUUUUUUUUUUUUUUUUUUUUCUUUCCACAAGCUACUGUCCUACCCUGUUGGGAUGUACAGAGAACAUAAACUUACUAUUCAUUUUUGGGGUUUCUUAACAUUUUAUUUAUUUGUACCAUUAUAAUUUUUUAUAUCACACAGGUAUUGCAGUUGAACAACUUAUUCUUCUAGACAUUAAUUUCGUCACUCAGUUUGAAUCUUCCUUACCUUUAGGACAAUUUAAAAAAAAAUUACUUGUCAUUCUUUUUGUAGGGCAAAAAGUUGUAUUUGAAAGGGUAUUUUUGUAUGUAAUGUAAACUGCCUUCUUUACAUUAAGAACAUAAAAAUCUCAAAACCCCAAAGUGACUCCUGUGGUUUCUUUUUCUCUUUCUCUUUCUCUUCUAAAACAUUUGUCUUAGAAUUACAACGAGGAGAAAAAACGGCACCUUCAUAUACCUAUUCUUUACCCAAGUGUAGGCUAUCAGAUGGUAAGUGUCGUUGUUUAAGAUGACGUCACCUUCUAUGGGCGAUCCCUGUGACGUAGAUCUGAGUAAUAAGGUUGUAAACAACCUUGCGUUAACCACUGUCUUCAUGUAGGAGCCUCAAAACUAACAUGCGAAUAACCCUAUGGGUACAUAAUUUGUGUAAUUUACAAUUCAACAAAGUCAGAACGUAAUUUCGCUUUAAAAAUUGUUAUACUCUCACUGUUGUUGGACAUAAACGUCCUUGUUUGUGGGAGAUUCCCACUGCGUAUACAGGGGAUUACCCUAACGGGUGUAACAAUAGCGUGAGCUUCAGUAAAUAGCUUACAAGCGGCGUUCAUUUGAAAAAUAU